GGGCAGAUGGCCGAGUGGCUAAUGGCAGCAGACUGUAAAUCUGCCGCACCUUGCGUGCUACGGGGGUUCGAAUCCCUCUCUGCCCACCA
rnacentral:tRNA from 2 species